CUAAAAUUAUGUUAUAAUUUGAACCUUAUUUCAAACAUCCGUCAAGUGGAGUCAAAUAAAAAUAUCUAGUUGCACAGAUAAUAUUCUUAAAUUUAAGUUUGAUAAUGUUUCACUCUACUAUUAAAACUAACUGCUUAAUAUUGGUCCCGCUGAAUGUAAAUUUGCCAUGUCUUGUAUUUCUGUAUGAUGAAGACGGCACCGUGAUGUUUGCUUAAUACUUGUAUUCGCUGUUUCAGUCCAAUUACCAGAUAACAUACAAAAACAAUGCUUACGUAGAGUAAGUAAAACUAGCUUAAUUUUGAUUUUAGAGUAAAAGUAGUUAUCUGUUAUAAAAUGUAUAGAGAACAAUAUUUUGGAGGGAAUGUCAUAGGUGCUUUUAAUUAUGAACCAUUGAAAAAGUAACAAUUACAUAUUUAAAAAAGAAAAUUUAAAGGUUUUUGUAUAUUUUAUAUCGAGCUAUAUUUUUUGAAUACUACAAAAACCCUAUAACAAAUAUUGUUCUCUAUACAUUUCAUAAUAGGUACUCUAAAAUUAUAAUUAAUCUAGUUUCACUUAUUCUGUAAGCAUUGUUUUUGCAUGUUAAUCGGUGGUUGGAUUGAGACAGUAAUUGCAGGUAUAAUUUCUUCUAAAGAGGACAUGUUUUGACUGUAGAGACAGUUUUACAUGGGCAAAAACUACUUGAGCAGUCUUGUGAAAUUAAGAAACCAAAUUUAAGUCUAAGUUUUUACCACAAGUAAAAAACAAUUAUUAUUGUUCUACGAUCUAAAAUAUAUUUUAAAGUUUUUCAAACUCUAUAGUAACUAUGAACAUUUUAUUUCUUCAUUAUGCGGGUACCUAUAUAACCCGAGUAGGUUUUUAUACACACAAAAUACGGUUUAAAAAAAUAAACAUUUUUGUUAAUUUCAAGAGUACACAAUAAAUACUUGUGAUAAUGACCUGUGACUACUUUAUG